rnacentral:rRNA from 1 species
GACGAACGCUGGCGGCGUGCUUAACACAUGCAAGUCGAACGGAAAGGCCCUUCGGGGUACUCGAGUGGCGAACGGGUGAGUAACACGUGAGUAAUCUGCCCUGGACUCUGGGAUAGCCACCGGAAACGGUGAUUAAUACCGGAUAUGACACCUUGCUGCAUGGUGGGGUGUGGAAAGUUUUUUCGGUCCAGGAUGUGCUCGCGGCCUAUCAGCUUGUUGGUGAGGUAAUGGCUCACCAAGGCUUUGACGGGUAGCCGGCCUGAGAGGGUGACCGGUCACACUGGGACUGAGACACGGCCCAGACUCCUACGGGAGGCAGCAGUGGGGAAUAUUGGACAAUGGGCGGAAGCCUGAUCCAGCAACGCCGCGUGAGGGAUGACGGCCUUCGGGUUGUAAACCUCUUUCAGUACCGACGAAGCGUGAGUGACGGUAGGUACAGAAGAAGGACCGGCCAACUACGUGCCAGCAGCCGCAGUAACAC